rnacentral:tRNA from 2 species
AGUAUUAUGUCUGAAAAAGAAAUAAAUUGUAAAUUUAUUAAUGGAAAUUAAAAUUUUUCUAAUACUA